rnacentral:lncRNA from 1 species
CUUGGGAGCUUGAUGUCUCUUCUUGAUUUGCUCUCUUAAAAAUUAUUUUCAAUUUCUUCCAAAUUUGGUUAGCUAAAAUAUAUGAAGAAAUCAAGUUAAAUUUAUUUAACUCUAAUAAAUAAUAAAAAAUAUUCAUAGUCUUAGCAUUUAGUUGGAUUAUUUCUUUAUCAUCUAUUAAUGCAUUAGGUGUGUGUAAGCC